rnacentral:rRNA from 1 species
GAGAGGCUGAUCCCCAACGACGAGACUGAGACACGGCUCGUACACCUACGGGUGGCAGCAGUCGAGAAUAUUCGACAAUGGGCGAAAGCCUGAUCGAGCGACGCCGCGUGCAGGAUGAAGGCCUUUGGGUCGUAAACUGCUUUUCACCAUGAGAAAGAAGUUAGAGAUUGGAGGUUAGAAGUUGGUAUUAUGAGAUUGGAGGUUAGAAGUUGGUAUGGUAAAAUAAAGUUAUAUGAUUAAACAUUUUCGAGAUUUAGAUGUUUAUCGUAAAUCUCAAGAACUUUAUCCAAGGGUUAUAGAAUUUACUAAAGAAUUUUCACGGGAAGGUUAUCAUCUCCGCGAUCAACUUUGCAGAGCGGCUAAUGCAAUUCACUCAAAUAUUGCUGAGGGUUUUGGUCGUUCAGAAGCAGAAUUUAAAAUGUAUUUAACAAGAGCUCUUGGUUCUUGUAAUGAAACAGUCAAUCAUAUAAAUGAUGCGAUUAAUGCCGGAUUUGGUAAUAAUAAUUUAGGUAAAGUUCUUUUUGAAGAAUAUGAAAGACUUGGUAAACAAUUAUAUCGUUUGCGAGAAAAAUGGAAAAAAUUCUAAUUUCCAACUUCCAAUCUCUAACUUCUGAUGGUAGUGGUGGAAUAAGGGGCUGCAAACUUCGUGCCAGCAGCCGCGGUAAUACGAAGGCCCCAAGCGUUAUCCGGAUUUAUUGGGCGUAAAGAGCGCGUAGGAGGCUUGAUGGGUCUUAGGUAAAAGGCUAGAGCUUAACUCUAGUUGCGCCUAAGAAACUAUCAAGCUUGAGGAUGUUAGAGGUGAAUGGAACGCACGGUGUAGGGGUGAAAUCCGUUGAUAUCGUGCGGAACACCAAAGGCGAAAGCAAUUCACUGGGACAUUCCUGACUCUGAGGCGCGAAAGCGUGGGGAGCAAAAAGGAUUAGAUACCCUUGUAGUCCACGCCCUAAACGAUGUCCGCUCGCUGUUUCGAGUAUCGACCCUCGGAGUGGCUAAGCUAACGCGUUAAGCGGACCGCCUGGGAAGUACGGCCGCAAGGCUAAAACUCAAAGGAAUAGACGGGGACUCGCACAAGCGGUGGAACAUGUGGUUUAAUUCGACGGUAAACGAGGAACCUCACCAGGGCUUGAAAUGCUUUCGAAGAUGCUCCGAAAGGAGUAUCGUCUCAGCUUUAGUUGGGACGGAAGCACAGGUGCUGCAUGGUUGCCGUCAGCAUGUGCCGUGAGGCGCUCCCUUCAAUGGGGUAACAUGCGCAACCCUCGCCUUGUGUUACAAGUGUCACAAGGGACUGCCGUGGUAUACACGGAGGAAGGUGAGGAUGACGUCAAAUCAGCAUGGCCCUCUGAUGCCCUGGGCCACACACAUGUUACAAUGGCCGAAACAGCGGGUUGCUAAGCCGCAAGGCGGAGCUAAUCCCUAAAAUACGGCCUCAGUUCAGAUUGAGGGCUGCAACUCGCCCUCAUGAAGUCGGAAUCGCUAGUAAUCGCGGAUCAGAAUGCCGCGGUGAAUACGUUCUCGAGUCCUGUACUCACCGCCCGUCACACCAGGGGAGCCGGGAGAGCUUAAAGUGCGCUUCGUGCGUAUGAGAGCUAGCUCGGUGACAAGGGUGAAGUCGUAACAAGGCACGCGUAGCGGAAGCUGUGCGUGGAUCA